UCUCAGUUCGGAUUGGAGUCUGCAACUCGACUCCAUGAAGCUGGAUUCGCUAGUAAUCGCGCAUCAGCCAUGGCGCGGUGAAUACGUUCCCGGGCCUUGUACACACCGCCCGUCAAGCCAUGGAAGCCGGGAGUGCCUGAAGUGUGCAACCGCAAGGAGCGCCCUAAGGUAAAACUGGUGACUGGGGCUAAGUCGUAACAAGGUAAC
rnacentral:rRNA from 1 species